rnacentral:rRNA from 1 species
CAGCAGCCACGGGAAUACGUAGGGUGCAAGCGUUAAUCGGAAUUACUGGGCGUAAAGCGUGCGCAGGCGGUUUGUUAAGACAGAUGUGAAAUCCCCGGGCUCAACCUGGGAACUGCAUUUGUGACUGGCAGGCUAGAGUAUGGCAGAGGGGGGUGGAAUUCCGCGUGUAGCAGUGAAAUGCGUAGAUAUGCGGAGGAACACCGAUGGCGAAGGCAGCCCCCUGGGCCAAUACUGACGCUCAUGCACGAAAGCGUGGGGAGCAAACAGGAUUAGAUACCCGUGUAGUCCCUGUCUCUUAUAC